rnacentral:misc_RNA from 1 species
GGGAAUUCCCCCAUUUAAUGGCGGUUUCGCGAAUCUAGUGAAGGCCCAAGUAUGUCUGAGGAUAUUGCGGUGCGGAUUGUCUGAAAGGCGAUAUGUCCUCCGUCCCAGACAGAACAUACAGUUCCUGUCAGAAUUAUACGUGGAGUACCACUGACAUACUAGGGCGCGGGGCGACAGCUGUUGUAUUCAAAGCCAGAAAUAAGACAUCGGGGGAGGUGUUUGCCGUGAAGGUGUUCCACGAUCGUGUCUCCACCUACCAUUCCUCAGUUCCCGAGCGUGAACUAGACCUCCUCCGAAGAAUGAAGCACCGCAAUGUCAUCGGCAUACUUGGGCGAGAAAAAGAGAUAGGUACCGGAAAUGACGUCAUCGUGAUGGAAUACUGUUCGGGUGGAAGUCUAUACUCAAUGUUGGACAAACCUAAGUAUGCGUUCGGAUUUCCAGAAGAAGAAUUCCUUAUCGUUCUACAUGACAUAAGUGACGGUGUAGCAUACCUCCGAAAAAAUCAAAUUAUACACAGAGACAUAAAACCUGGGAAUAUCAUGCGGAAAAUAGACGAAAACGGAAGGUCAGUAUACAUGCUGACUGAUUUCGGGGCCGCUAGAGCUCUCGAAGAGGAAGAAACGUUUACGUCCAUCUAUGGAACUGAGGAAUAUUUGGACCCUAACAUGUAUGAGCGAGCUGUGUUACGCAGAACAACCGGAAAUGUGUACGACGCGGACGUUGAUUUGUGGAGUUUAGGUGUCACCAUAUACCACGUGGCAACAGGUUCUCUCCCCUUUCAGCCCUACGGAGGAAGAAGCAAUGCAACUACUAUGCACUUCAUCACAACUGAGAAAAAGUCUGGAGUGAUAUCCGGAAAACAGCGAUCGGAGGGCGGAGAUAUAGAAUGGAGCACUGAACUUCCAAGGACGUGCUCUCUAUCAGCGUCUCUAAAAUCCUUUGUAACCCCAAUGAUAGCAGGCCUGUUGGAAAGUAACCAGAAAAUGAGAUGGACGUUCGAUAAAUUCUUUUAUAGUACCAAUGAUAUAAUGAAUAAAAUCACCGUAAAGGUCUUUGAUUGCUCAACUGGAAUCAAUAAUAAACUCUACAUCGAUAAAACGGACCGAUACGCCCAAUUUCAAGAGGCUGUUGCAAAGACUACAGAGAUAGCAGCUGGAGAACAGUUAAUAUUAUUCCAUAAUAGAGAACUUAGUGAAAUUAUUGAAGGGACUAUACAAAUGCAAAACUGGCCCAAAAACUUAAUAAGAGGUCAAGUGUAUCUGUAUCAACGAGAGAAACUCGACCAACAAAGACUUGUGUUACCGGAAAUACGUAAGACACGUGACACAUACGUAAUCAUGACAUCACUGUUGUGUUUUCGAUUGGAUUAUUUACUUACAAAAUACUGUCGUGUUCGAUGCAUACAUUUUUAUCAAAUAUGGAUCUGAUUGAUUGCGUACAAAAUGCUUUGUUUUCAAUUAAGCGUUGAAUUUGUUGUUUUAAGUAAAAUGUUUUUUAUCUUUAAAGCACCUCUACCACAAUUUCCUUCCAAAGUUACGCUCGAUCGAGAUUGUUAUGUAGCUCAUAAAAUGGCAGCGAUAUCUUGUUUAAUGGAACGCUAUAUUGCCAUGUGUAUAAUACAACAAGAAAUCAUGUUGCAAUCUGAAAAUUACCUACGGUAAGUUUUGUGCAAUAGAUAUCCUGGAAUUCCGACAUAUAAAUGCAAGUUUUUUUGGUCCUUUUUAUUUGAACAAAAACAUGUCAAAAUGGUUGGAAGGAUAGGAGGAAAUUCCCUAUUUGGUUUCUUUAAGGGACACGACCCGGGAAGUUUUAAUCAUUUAUCGAAUAAAAGACAAUAUUCUUCUUCCUAGUAGCAAGACAUUGGACGGGAAUGGCUUAUUUCAAAAUUUCUUUAUCCUUUUUUUUUUUUUUUUUUUACAAAUGAGACGUUACAAGGGAUUUUAAAAUAUAACCACUUGAAGUCUAUUGAAAAGAAGGAAGUGUUUUUCUUGAGAAAUUCAAUCAUGCGUUAGUACUCGUACAUGUAUAUCAUUACAUUUGUAUAUCUCAGAUCAUG